GACGAACGCUGGCGGCGUGCUUAACACAUGCAAGUCGAACGGAAAGGCCCUGCUUUUGUGGGGUGCUCGAGUGGCGAACGGGUGAGUAACACGUGAGUAACCUGCCCUUUACUUUGGGAUAACUUCAGGAAACUGGGGCUAAUACCGGAUAGGAGCUCCUGCUGCAUGGUGGGGGUUGGAAAGUUUCGGCGGUUGGGGAUGGACUCGCGGCUUAUCAGCUUGUUGGUGGGGUAGUGGCUUACCAAGGCUUUGACGGGUAGACGGCCUGAGAGGGUGACCGGCGACAUUGGUACUGAGAUACGGCCCAGACUGCUACGGGAGGCAGCAGUGGGGAAUAUUGCACAAUGGGCGGAAGCCUGUUGCAGCAACGCCGCGUGCGGGAUGACGGCCUUCGGGUUGUAAACCGCUUUCGCCUGUGACGAAGCGUGAGUGACGGUACUGAGUAAAGAAGCACCGGCUAACUACGUG
rnacentral:rRNA from 1 species